rnacentral:rRNA from 1 species
AGGUUAAGCGAAGAAGAGCGUAUGGCGGAUGCCUGGCCACCAGGAGGCGAAGAAGGACGCAGCAAACGGCGAAACACGACGGCGAGCAGUAAGCAUGCAAGGACCCGUCGAUGUCCGAAUGGGGGAACCCGUCAUCCAAGAGGAUGACAUCGAUGAAGAAUCGAGGCGAUACGCAGGGAACUGAAACAUC